rnacentral:rRNA from 1 species
GACGAACGCUGGCGGCGUGCUUAACACAUGCAAGUCGAACGGUGACGGAGUGGUUUGCUCCUCCUGACCAGUGGCGAACGGGUGAGUAACACGUGAGUAAUCUGCCCCUGACUCUGGGAUAACUUCAGGAAACUGUAGCUAAUACCGGAUACGACCCGCUAAUGCAUGUUCUGCGCGUGGAAAUAAUUUCGGUCAGGGAUGAGCUCGCGGCUUAUCAGCUUGUUGGUGGGGUAGUGGCUCACCAAGGCGACGACGGGUAGCCGGCCUGAGAGGGUGACCGGCCACAUUGGGACUGAGACACGGCCCAGACUCCUACGGGAGGCAGCAGUGGGGAAUAUUGCACAAUGGGCGGAAGCCUGAUGCAGCAACGCCGCGUGAGGGACGACGGCCUUCGGGUUGUAAACCUCUUUUGGCAGGGAAGAAGCGAAAGUGACGGUAACUGGAGAAAAAGCACCGGCUAACUACGUG